CAGCCGCCACGGUAAUACAGAGGGUGCGAGCGUUAAUCGGAUUUACUGGGCGUAAAGCGUGCGUAGGAGGCUUUUUAAGUCGGAUGUGAAAUCCCUGAGCUUAACUUAGGAAUUGCAUUCGAUACUGGGAAGCUAGAGUAUGGUAGAGGAUGGUAGAAUUCCAGGUGUAGCGGUGAAAUGCGUAGAGAUCUGGAGGAAUACCGAUGGCGAAGGCAGCCAUCUGGCCUAAUACUGACGCUGAGGUACGAAAGCAUGGGGAGCAAACAGGAUUAGAUACCCCAGUAGUCCCUGUCUCUUAUAC
rnacentral:rRNA from 1 species